UGUAAGCGUAUACCAAAGUUGUUGCAGUUAAAACGCUCGUAGUCGGAAUUUGGCAGUUCCGGAUGUGUGCACGUCGUGUGCGCACUUCGCGGGGAUUGCUUUUGUGGUCUUGCGUAGGAUGAGGCACUUUUAUUAGUGAACGUCCUCACGCAACCACUUUUUACUGUGAGAAAAUCAGAGUGCUCAAAGCAGGCAUUUGCCGUGAAUGUAUUAGCAUGGAAUAAUAGAAUAGGACUUGGUUCUAUUUUGUUGGUUUGUUGGGACUGAGUAAUGAUUAAGGGGGACAGUUGGGGGCAUUUGUAUUUCGGUGCUAGAGGUGAAAUUCUUAGAUUACCGAAAGACAAACUGCUGCGAAAGCGUCAGCCAAGGAUGUUUUCAUUGA
rnacentral:rRNA from 1 species